rnacentral:misc_RNA from 1 species
AAGUCGUAACAAGGUCUCCGUUGGUGAACCAGCGGAGGGAUCAUUACCGAGUCACGUACUCAAACAACCCUUCUGUGGACCUGAAUUAAACCGUUGCCUCGGCGGGCGGUCCCCUGCCAAACCCACGUGGCGGGCAGGGGACCAGACAGUCCGGCACGCUUAAGGCGUCCGGCGCCAGCCGCUGGCCCCAAACAAUUAAACUCUAGUAACCUUUACCUUCUGAGUUUUAAUAUUAAAAAAUAAGUCAAAACUUUCAACAACGGAUCUCUUGGCUCUG